AACGAACGCUGGCGGCAUGCCUAACACAUGCAAGUCGAACGAGACCUUCGGGUCUAGUGGCGCACGGGUGCGUAACGCGUGGGAACCUGCCCUUAGGUUCGGAAUAACUCCCCGAAAGGGGUGCUAAUACCGGAUAAUGUCUUCGGACCAAAGAUUUAUCGCCUUUGGAUGGGCCCGCGCGGGAUUAGCUAGUUGGUAGGGUAAAAGCCUACCAAGGCGACGAUCCAUAGCUGGUCUGAGAGGAUGAUCAGCCACACUGGGACUGAGACACGGCCCAGACUCCUACGGGAGGCAGCAGUGGGGAAUAUUGGACAAUGGGCGAAAGCCUGAUCCAGCAAUGCCGCGUGAGUGAUGAAGGCCUUAGGGUUGUAAAGCUCUUUUACCCGGGAUGAUAAUGACAGUACCGGGAGAAUAAGCUCCGGCUAACUCCGUG
rnacentral:rRNA from 1 species